CCUCCACCUUAUGAAGGUCUGUUAUUUUUUUGUUCACUUAGGACACACUGUGAAGCUCCCUGCAGUGCUCUCCCUUUGAAAUGAGGACCCAGCUACCCAGGUGCCCAGUGUACCCAUGAACACUGCAUGAUGAUAUUAUCACUUCAACUCUCCUUGUUAAAACUUUGCCAUUCAUUUCUGCUCCAUUACCAAUAUAUGCUCAAUGUAAUCUUGCAGGAUUUGUUGUUCUGACCUGGUUUCUGUGGGUUUAACUCUGAAUGGAACAGGAUGUUAGCAGUGUCAGCCUGGUUAGAUAAAAUGGAUCAUCAAUGCAUUUCAGAUGUCACAUCCUCCAGGUGGGAAGCAAUCUCUCCUCCAUCGGUGCAUCCCCACAUUUCAACUGCGCCCCUCACUGUCUAGCAUCUGUGGCAGGUGUGUAGGUUCAUUUCUUUUAAGUUUUUAGAAGUCUAAGAGCAAAGCAUGUGCUUUUUUGAGUAUCUGUAUCCCUGGUAAAGUAUCUGGCCUGCAUGUAACAUGUUCUCAAUAAAAACCUGUAUGGAAUUUAUGUAA
rnacentral:lncRNA from 1 species